rnacentral:rRNA from 1 species
AUUGAACGCUGGCGGCAUGCCUUACACACGCAAGUCGAACGGUGAAGCAGGAGCUUGCUCCUGUGGAUCAGUGGCGAACGGGUGAGUAACACGUGAGCAAUCUGCCCUGGACUCUGGGAUAAGCGUUGGAAACGACGUCUAAUACCGGAUACGAGGCGUGGGGGCAUCCCCAACGCCUGGCAAGACCUUCGGUCCAGGAUGAGCUCGCGGCCUAUCAGGUAGUUGGUGAGGUAACGGCUCCCCAAGCCUACGACGGGUAGCCGGCCUGAGAGGGUGACCGGCCACACUGGGACUGAGACACGGCCCAGACUCCUACGGGAGGCAGCAGUGGGGAAUAUUGCACAAUGGGCGCAAGCCUGAUGCAGCAACGCCGCGUGAGGGACGACGGCCUUCGGGUUGUAAACCUCUUUUAGCAGGGAAGAAGCGAAAGUGACGGUACCUGCAGAAAAAGCACCGGCUAACUACGUGCCAGCCGCCGCCGUAAAAC